rnacentral:rRNA from 1 species
ACUCCUACGGGAGGCAGCAGUAAGGAAUAUUGGUCAAUGGGCGGAAGCCUGAACCAGCCAUGCCGCGUGCAGGAUGACUGCCCUAUGGGUUGUAAACUGCUUUUGUCCAGGAAUAAACCUAGAUACGUGUAUCUAGCUGAAUGUACUGGAAGAAUAAGGAUCGGCUAACUCCGUGCCAGCAGCCGCGGUAAUACGGAGGAUCCGAGCGUUAUCCGGAUUUAUUGGGUUUAAAGGGUGCGUAGGCGGCCUAUUAAGUCAGGGGUGAAAUACGGUGGCUCAACCAUCGCAGUGCCUUUGAUACUGAUGGGCUUGAAUCCAUUUGAAGUGGCGGAAUAAGACAAGUAGCGGUGAAAUGCAUAGAUAUGUCUUAGAACUCCGAUUGCGAAGGCAGCUCACUAAGCUGGUAUUGACGCUGAUGCACGAAAGCGUGGGGAUCGAACAGGAUUAGAUACCCCUGGUAGACUGUCA